UGUCGCGUGUGUGUGUGGCUGCCACACCUCCGAGGCGCCACGCCUUCGUCGCGCCUGGCUCCCACUGCGACCCGAGUGAGGGGCCCUGCGCGCGUCCCCCGAGCGUGCCGCCAUGCUGUUGUGGUUGUGGUCACACCUCGUGGAAGAGCUAGAAGGCCAUGGACAUACGCAGAGGGUGGGGAGGCUGCCUUACCAGCAAUGAGUUUAAAGUGUCCCUUAAAGCUGGAAAAGGACACUAUGGAUAAGCUGCAUCAAAACCCAUAAAAAAAAGUUUGCAGUGAGAAAUAAAGGGCAAUUUAUCAGAUCCUGGAGGAUCAUUCCCUGGUUAUACGUGACACAACGGGCAAUGGUUAAGCUCAAACGGUGGGCUAGCCUUUGGGCUGCGGAAUGUUGGCACGUUACCUUCCUCCUCUUCCCCACAUUGCUGCGGAGUGGGUGCUAUAUCUUCCUUGACAGAGAAGACUCAGGCUAAGAGAUAUCCCCAAAGCCCAGAGCUGGUGACUGGAAGGAUGUGUUUUUGUUUGUUUGUUUGUUUGAAGCACGUUUCACGCUUAGCGCGGAGCCCAACGUGGGGCUUGAACUCACCGCCCUGAGAUCAAGACCUGAGCUGAGAUCAAGAGUGGGAUGCUUAACCGACUGAGCCACCCGGGCGUCCCCUGGCAGGAUGCGAAGAUAUGUAAAAGUUAUAGAGUCCCCGCUCUUUGCUCUACACCUGCUUGUCCGCCUUGAGUCUCAGUUUCUUCUCAGGUUGGCCCUUCCGAUCACCAUAAUAGCCCUGGUUUGAACAGGAACGUCUACAGUCAUCAAUAUGAAGGACAAAUCUAGGCUGUGAUGUUUUCCUUUUCGAUGUUCUUACCUCCUUCUUAGGGAGUUCUUGAUAGUAUGCAAUGUACAACGUUGCCAAUUAAGUUAUUAAAAUUUUAAAUGCUUCUAGCCAUUACAGAUUUCCAGGCACCCAUCAUGACAUUUUAAGAGUAGGUCUGUCUACUUCAACGCAAGUGUGGUACUUAGAGAGCUCGAGUUACAGACACUUUGGGUAUCAGAGGAACCAGGUUCAACAUGGGCUGCAAAGGAGGAGGACAAACGGGGUGAGGCUAUCGUGAGUGGAGCCUGGGAAAAUAGAGGGAGCAGAGGGAGGUAUCACGUGGACAGAGGCCUGCAGGCUGGGACGGCACCACUGGGCAUGAGCCCUCUUGUCCUGUCCUCUCACUUCCAGAGCCCUGGGCACAGACAGAGCUUGUGGCUCAGCUCUGUCCGCACCGAGUGAGGCAACCACCACCAUCCGAUUGGCUUGGACCCUCACAGGGGCAGCUCUUCUCCAUCUCGGCCCUAGUUUGGUAAAACAACGGGAUUAUUUUACGGAUCCCUCAGGUCGCGGAGGCAAAAGACAGAGGGCAGCCCAGAAUUUUCUGCACUUUGAAUUAGAUUGACUAAAUACAUUACAUUAGAUUAGAAGACAUGUGUGACAAAACACCACUCUUCCCACGACUACAGGAACUCGUAGCCAAUGAGGAAAAUGGUCUGAAAGGCUUGCCACAGAAGGGUCACGGGCUUGUCUCUCUCUGGACGGUGGGUUAUGAGUGUUGGGUUUUUGCUACUUUUGUUGGGCUACAUUUUUGAUUUUCAGUCAAGACUCAAAUUGCUUUUGUAAUAACAACAGAAAGAAAAUGGCGUGCACUUAAUGAAAGAAAUAAUAAAAUAACCUUUUGAUA